GCCACAACCUUUAUUUGGGUAGAGAAAGGGAAGUGAGAGAGGAGGUCAGGUGCUUACUGAGAGGACCAGAGUCCAGGCAGAGAGAAGACAAUUUAGUAAUGGAGAAACUCAGGGACUUGUGGCUUUCUAGAAAUGGAAACAAGCCCCCAAACCAAGAUGGCAGUAUGAACUUAAUAGAGCCUCUUCCGUGGAAGAGAAUGGAUGAGACUUGAACCCCACAAUUCUUUAUCUUGUAACUUGAAAGCCAUGGUAAAGCCAGGUGGCAUAUAAGAGGCUCUCAGGAGAGACCUUGAUCCCAGGUACAGAUUCCAUCCUGGUGACUUACCUGAAGCAAAUCCCAGAAUUACCACAGCCAUCAGCCAGCAGAAUCGCAUCAAGUCACCAAAAAUCAUCUACAAAGAGGAGGAGGCAGAGAACACUACCUUCAGAGCAGUUACCCACCUGACACCAGCAAGUCUAACCCCAAACAUCAACCCAUACCAGGAUGGGCUGGCAAACUACAGCCUGCCAGCUAAGUCUGCCUGCCCUGUCUUGGUGAGGUUCUUAAACUAAGGAGUUUUAAAAGCUUGUAAGAGGAUUUUAAAUGUUUUCAAAGAAAGACAGUGAGAAAAGUAUAUAAAAAGAAUGAUGUCAGGGUCACAGCACCUGCAAUAUGUACCUCCUGGCCCUCUGGGAAAGUGUUAACCUUGGUCUGAGACUCUAUUAGAAGCGUGGGGGAGGAACUGACCUUCUGAAUCAUGAUGGUGAAGGGACCCAGCAUCUGGAAUCCUCUGGCAAAGUACAUGACAUUGCACCAGCCCAACACCAGAGCAAAGGACAUGGGCACCACUUCUCCAUCUACAUUGGUGAGUCGCAUCACCAUGGUCACCAGCACCAUGAAGGCAUAAGUGAUACUGGGGGGGCAAGAAAAGUGGGUCUAAUGAGAAAGAAGCCAGGCUCAUCCUGGGGACCUAGCAACAAGAGUGCAGCUGAAAUAUACCUCAUACUAUAUCAGACUCAGCCUUGACAACAUUCAGUACUCUGAGGUUACACAUUACAGAGAGAACUCGGAGAUAAGGGAAGGUGGGAGAUGCUCUAAUGAGAUGAAGGAUGGAAAUGAAAUGGAGACACUCACAUGAUGACAUGGAAUGGCCCCCCGAGAAUGGUCUGUCCAAAGAAUCGAGUGACCCCCAACCUGAAGAUGUCUGGAAUCUGGAAAGAAGUCAGAGACAAAGGCAUUUGUAGCCCAGAAUGCAGACUGGACCCCUGGGUCAGAUGGCCUCCAGUAGGAUUCUAUCCACACCUCACCUCCACCAGCAGGAUGAUCACAGCCCCAACGAUGCUCACGAGUUCCCCCACCAACCGGAGGUCAUCCUUAGGGGUCACAUAGGCCUCCUAAGGAGGAAAAAUGUUGGUAAAUCACCUGUCUUUGACAUAAUCUAGUUUCCAAAGUCCCUGGCUCUUUCAGGUUUUUGUUUGUUUGUUUGUUUUCUAGCCCAUCAGAUUCAGCUAGUCUCAAAACUCUGCUCCUAGAGUAAGAAUGUAUGCAUGUCUCUGUGUGUAUUUGUGGACUCUGUGCCCUCUUAGGAGAUCUAGGUGAGAGGGGAAAAGCUGGUGUGGAGUCAAAGUGGGACAGCGCUAUGGAAAACAGAUUCCUAGUGUACUAUCUGUCCCUCCCCAGGUGUCACCUGAAGGAGCUUCUGUUGCAUCAGAGUGUUGUCCCGGGGGUUGGUGCGGUUAGUGAUCCUGGGCUUGAGCGGGCGGUAGACACAGCACAUGGUAAAGCAGAUGAUGUACAGCACAUAGAUGGCACCCAGCACGCAGAAGUAGGGCCGCCCAUACCUCUUCCACUUGAGGCUCACCAGUUCCUUUACAGGUGUCUGGUCCAGGAUCUGGCGAGCCUGCCACAGAAAGAAUAGAAAAGUGUCUCCAUGACCCUAUCACCCCUCACCAAGGCCUGUGCUGUGAAAGACUGUACCUCCCGUUUCUUGGUAGUAACAAUAAGUUCCAGUAGGGAUUGAUCAUCUCCUGAGGAGUCAAUCUCAGUGAGGUCAUACAGUGUGGAGGUCAAUGGCCCAUAUGUCCACUGGAUGUGUUUCCGCUUCUGCAUCAGGUGUUGGAACAUCUGAAAGAGAGGUGAGAUAGUCAGGACUCAAAGCUGCAUGGAAUAGCACAGCCCAGAAGGAAAGGACUAGAGGAGAAGGGAUUUUCAUUCUCUUAAAGAACACAGCCUUUGGAAAGCCAAAUAGUGCAUGCCACCCAAAUCCUAGAUUUAUCUUGCUCCAGGAAUCAUUCCAAGCCUGGAGCUAUGAGGGGAUUGGCAGAUCUCUUCUGGGAAGGACAAAUUGGCUUGGGCAUUGCAGAAAAUCUCAGCAUGAGGUCUAGACUACAUGAAUUCUCUGUACUUCACUAGGAGUAAACAUGCAGGGAAAAAAAAAAGCAGGAUGGUGGUGGGGAGCAGGGGCAUGAAAGACAUAGGCUGAAACAGAGCCUAAUUAAAACAGAAUGGGAUCUAA